AGAACAAACACAGCCAAUGCUCUCUGCUGGGAAGCAGCAAUGGCUGCUUAGCAAGUUGCCUCCUCUGAACACAUCAUUACUGGGGUGUGACUCAGGAGCUGCUUCACAAAAUGCAGGACUUGCUUCCCAUUUUUGUUCUGAUUGCAUCGGAGCUGUUGGAUUUCUCUGGUGAGUGAUGCGUUCUGUCCUGAUGCCAUUUGCUGUCUUUCCACCUUCUUUCCAGUGCUGGGUGUGAUGCCAUGGGUCUCAGCUGUGUGGUAAGGGGAUGAGUGGGCACAACCUUCUUUGGGAACAGCUGUCUGGCCAGCAUGAAAGCAAACUGAGUUGGUAAUGCUAUUGUGCCUCAAGCAAGUUCCUAGGAGACUGGUCCCCCAAAAAGGUGUGUUUAUGUAUAUGUGGCACUUUCCUUAUCUGAGACUUUGAUUCAUUAAAGAAUUUGAGUUCAUGCGGAUCUAUAGACACUUGUAUUGCUUUGCUGAGUUGGGGCUAAGCUAUGGAAGUUCCAUCUAUUUGGACAAAGUCAUAAUUCAUAAUUUCUAUAGCCUUAACAUCCCAGUCUCCAUCAUCCAUCAGAAUCCAUUUUUUAGCCAUAUCUGCUUUUUGGUUCCCCUUUACUCUGCUCACUAUUCCCAAAGAAGUUCCCUAACUUUUCGCUUCCCUCUCAGCCUGUUGCAAAAUGCUGCUGCAAACUGUUGGAAGUUGAUGGACAAGGAAAUAGACAAAGCUCCAUUUCUGUCUGCUAGGUGCCCCCAGAGCCGAGCACCAUGUCGGGGGAGCCCCAGACCUGAGCUUUCCUGGAGAAACCCAACCAAUAUCUGGGAGCAGUCCGCUGUCCGUCACAGAAGAUGACUUGGGUGAGGCGACCAAUUAUGUUCAGACUCCGGCAGCCGAUCCUACAAAUGAAGUGACAGCAGACUUCAUUCCCAGCCACGCAGAGGUGACUGCAAGAGCAACAGCCACGUUGCCAGUGGAGCUGGUGAGGGACAUGGAGGGGUCUGACCGAAGGGACACGGCAGCAGCUGUAAAGCUUCAGGACAGACAGCCACUUCCUAACGAGCUCUUGAGCAGCACAAGCAGCCCCAUCUCCACACGGGGGUCCCAGGCUGCCACCCACCCACAUCCCUCAGGAAAGGCUGUCACCAUUACCAGCCCGGCCAGCUCUGGUGCCGGCACUCCUCAGCCCAUUCCCAGUGCAGGGGUGCAGCAAGGUGCUCCUGCCUUGUCCACCCCGGGCAUCCAGCAGAGGGAGGCACCAAGUCUUGAAACGUCUCCUCUGACUUCAACAGUACAUUUCCAUCCUCCCAGAAAAGAAACAGCAUCUCCAUUUCCCACCAGAGAGAAGAUGGUGACCACUCCACCGUCAGCACCUCCCACCAGCAAAAGGCUGAGAGAUGUGAGCCCCCAGGCACAGCCCCACAGCAGAGCUGCACAGCCUCGGGGUGUGGGCGCUAAGGUCACCACUUCUGCAUUCCUACCAAAGCCAGCUUCAGGGGGCCCUACUGCAGUUCCUUCCAGAACAACACAGACAACUGCUGGUCAUUUCUCCCCUAUUUUACCUCUGAAGCGAGGGACAGCAGGCAGCGAGGGCAGGAACUCAACAGCAGCCGUCAUAAGUGGGUCUGGACAUGCAGCCCGGCUGUCUGCUCUGCAGGAUGUUCUGCAAGGCCAUGCACACUCCUCCUCCCCGCUGAUGCCUCUGGGAGCCCUGCAUCAUGGUGAUUUACCUCACUCUCCAUCUCAAGAGCCCACUACUGCUGCUGACAGACCACAGCCUCUCCCUUUGCCCCGGACUCUCAGCUGUACCAAACACCACUCCUCCCAAGAAACCCACAGUAGCUCUCAAGGAAGCACAGCCCUGGUUUUGCAAAGAGAUGCUGAUCACCAGAUGACAAGUAAACCUGAAAAAUCCAGAUUCCCUGAGAAGCCACAGGUUUCUGCUAGUGCGUCCUUGGUAAGCCAGUCACAGAUGUCCCCCUUAAACCUUUCCCAAACUACUACAAAGGGAGCUCCAUCUGCACUCUCCUCAGGCACAUCCACCCUGGAGCAUGCAGCCCUUCGAGCUGUGAGUGCUCCCAAUGCUGUCCAUGCAGCACUUCAGCCACUGGGUGUAUCUGCUCCUUCUGCUGGAUCCCAGUUAGCGGGCAUCCCCGCUUCUGCUGAGCAAGGACUUCACGUACCAACUUCACCCACUUCAGCUCAUUCCGGGUCUGUGCACCCACCCUCUGCUCAGGAAAGCCAGCCCAGCACAACUGCACAUCCCAAAGUGGUGGAGGCUGCUGUUUCUGAGGGGAUCCCAGCACACCUGGCACAGCUGCUGGUGCAGCAGUUGGGUUCAUCACACCACACAUCUACCAAACACCUCGGUGCUAUCAGAACCGAUCUGCUUACCAUGUUACCAUCAUUCCCUUAUUUGUCCUUCCUGCUUAGAAAUACUGAUGGCAUGCUAUGCCUGCUUCCCACACAGGAUUCCCCUUUGCCUAUGCAAUUCCCAAAUGUCAGCAUUGGGACUUUGGUUUCUGCUCAGCAAAUCCUCACAGAGUCAAAUUCUUCGUUAUUAGAUCUUGGGGACUUAACAAACCUGAGUCUUUCCAGCUUAAUCCUGGUUAAGCCCAUAUUUAUCCUCUUUCCCACCGACAGACCAGGCUUACAGGGGGGGCCCUCUCCUGAGGGUGAAGGCAAACACAAAAUUCCCUUGUUCACCAACCAGCAAGGUGUGCAAGCAGUUACUGCUGGGCACAGCCGUGCCAUCCCCGUGGUGUCCACACGCGUCCCCCGCACUGCCCCCAGAGCACCUCUCACAGCUGGGAAGUUGCUUUCUUCAUCACUGCCAGCGGUGGGACUGCCCGAUCCGCCACUCCCAGCCCAGCCUCCGUUUCCCAUCGCAGGGGCAGUGGAUCUGGCCGAGCCCAGCAAGGAGGCAGCUCUGCAAGGCGCCGUUCAGGGCUCAGCCCCCGCACCGUCCUCUGCCCGUGCGCAGUGCGCUGAGUGUCUGCGCUCUGCCAGGACCACGAAUUACCCAUCGAGGGUGUCCACAAGCACUGUGCCUUUGCAGUCCACACCGCAAAGCAUCCUCAGCUCCGAGCCGCUCCAAAGGCUGCCAUCACCGGCUGGGGUUGUGCCCGGCACGGUACUGGGGAUGCCCCCAGCGCCUCCCACUGGCAGCGAAAGGAGAGAUUCAGCUGCGGGCAGCGCCGCCUGGCCGGGAGUGGCUCUGCAGCCCAGGGCAGCACCAACCCCACCCUCUUCUAUAAGCCCUGACCUUGCCAAGCACAUGGAGCUCACACCCGCCGUGCCCAAGCCCCCGACGGCGGUGGAGACCCCAGCGCCAACGCCAGUGCUGUCACCAUUUUCAGCAAAGGUUCACGUGAAAACAACGUCUGGGAAGCUGCUGGCUGCAGUUACCCAUCCGAGAAUGUACACCGAGAAUGUACACCCUGCAAGCCUGCGUCCCUCAGUGGCCAUGCGCAUUCCCCCGCCAUCAGCCAUGAAACACGACCGGAGCACCCGAGCACAGGGCAGUGUGGGAGAAGAUGCAAAGCCAACUGAAGUCAGCACGAGUGCGAGGAAAACAGGACCCGCGGGGAGCAGCACUCCUUUGGCAGCCGUGUUUAACACGAGGGCGGAGCAGCGCCCCGCAGCAGUGCAGGGCAGCGAGGCUGCUUUAGCCCCAGUGCAGUCUGCAGAAGCUGUGAUUGAGAGGCACAGCUCCACUGGGCAGCGCCCUGGACCGCCUCCAACAGGAUCGGCUGUGGGGCUGCCCCUGAGCACCGAGGAAGAGGAGGAGGUCGGACCCCGCGAGGUGACCGAAGAAGGAGCUGAAGGCUCAGUGACCGACCUCACACCGCUGGGGUCGCAGCCGGGAGAGCCCCGCCGCCGCAGCGCCGUGCAGCCCGAGGGCGCCGUGCUGAGCGGGUAAUUGGUUGGUGCGGGAGCUGCUGCUGUGCAGAGGGCGGAGGGGUUAACAUCUACAGUGCCCAUGGGCUCAGCAGCACGGGCGUGAUGUACUGCUGGCUUAAGAGCACUCAGUUCAUUCUGCGGUGACCUCAUAAUUUUUUUUUUUUUAAGUAAUCUUUCUACAUCUCAGAUGUUAGCACUGUCCUUCCAGACCCAGCUUUCUUUUGCACAGCAGCCUUUGACUCUCUGCCUCUCCUCCUAAACAGCUCUACAUGCAGCUCUGUGAUGUGGGAGCAUCUGAUGGCACAGUGAGACGCUCCAGCAUCAUGUGGACGUUCCCCACGUGGCUGUGCAGAGGCAGGAGGUGGUUCUGGUCACACCAGGGUCUACUUGCUCUUCAUUUCAUUCAACUUGUUUGCAAACAUCUUGCAGAUCUGUUUGGUUUCACCAAGGAAACCGACCCUAGCACUGAGCAGCUGCACAGCAGGGCUGGGCUCAGCUGGUUUCUUCUUUCCCCUGCAGCGUUGUGGUUGUCAGCGAUGAGCUCUGUGGCUCCGGGAACUACACAGUGCGGAUGACCCUGCGCCCUGUGGCAGACACCAGCCUGGGGCUGCAGGGCUCGCCCCCCACCCAGGACUCCUUCCUGGCUCUCGUGGCCGUGCAGAGCAGCCUCCAGCCCGUGCUGCAGCUCCGCUCCUGCUGUGUGACACCAUCCAGCAGCCUGCAGGGCCCCAGCGCCGUGUGCUGCCCACUGCCCAGGUAUGGCACUGGGAGCUCCAAGUGAGGCUGGGGUGGGGGACACGUUCUGUAAUCAGCACCAUAAGACACAUGGCUGUCCUUCCUUCACACUUUGACCCCUACAGAUAACAUGUCCCGCUUUCUUGUGCAGUAUUAUCAUUGUACAGCAUCCUCCUGCCUUUUCUCCUGGGGGAGCACACAGCCUGGAAGCAGAGCAGCCCAAAGGUGGGGGACCCUGGCUGCAGUGAGAGCUCACCCUUGUGCUGCUGCUGCAUCUGAGUCAGGCAAUGAGAACCACAGCACUGCAGCCCUUUUAGAGGUUUUAACACAAUAGACCUCCAAGAAACAACAGAAGGCAUACAUCCAGGCUGGGACACUGAGAUUUGGGGAUUUUUGUUUGCCUGGGACCUGGCAGACAGCCUAUGCAGAGCAGUGUCUUCCCCUCCCCUGCUCUUACCUGGUAAGUGCUGGAAGCUGAAGCUGUUUUCUGUUUGCCCUUGCCAGGCUGCCAGCUGAAUGCAAACACAUCCAGCUACUGCCGAGCAGUGAGUCCGGAGCUGCCAGCUUCACCAUCCAGCUGUUCCAGAUGCUGAAUCACUCCGUAGCCUAUCUGCACUGUGAGCUCAGUGUCUGUCUGCAGGGCCACACAGGCUGUGAGCAGGACUGCUUUGUUGGUGCGGAGCCGCUCCCCCCGCCAGAGGACAGGAACAGGCAUGGAAACCCACACAACAUGGUCUCAUUCGGCCCAGUUCUGAGAGCAAUGGGCAGCGUAGAGUACAAACCUGCAGAAGGUCCUAAUUCUGCCAUGCUGGUGCCCAUUCUGCUGGGAUCCCUGACUGGCUUUGCUGUCUUGGGCAGUGUUUUCAUCUGCCUUUGGUUGCAUCACAGACAGAAAACCAAAAACCUAAGUUAUCCACAAUUUGGAGAAAUCUGUGGCCUAUGAACUACACAUAACUGCCUGGUCCCGCCUAUCCCGCUCCGCUGCUACAGUAAUCAGAAAAGCAAAUGCUUUUGAAUUGCACACUGUAUUGCUUUUGUAGACCUGUUGGCCCAGGGAGCAAGAUCUCUCUCCUUCCUUUCUUUCCUUCUGCACGCAUGAGCCCACAAACUGCAGAGUAGAGGACUGUAGAAGCAGCCCAUCCAAAGGGGAGAACAGAUCUGCCAGGUAGCUAAAACCUCUAGGUCAGGGUUCAGUGUCUUGCAGAAGCACUAUUAUUCCUUGCACUGCAGUAGUGCUGUGGAAAUUAGCACCACAUCCCAUUUGACAUUGCCUUACCCACAUAGGUAGUCCCAGUGCUAAGCUGUUAAUGCCAUUUAUGCCCUAGACAAGUGUCAUUAAAACCUUCUGGAGAGUUAAGGCACAGAGCAAGCCCAAGUGUGUGUGCAUCGAGGGUGACACAGCUACAAAGGAGCAGUGCCCCAGCCCCAAAGAUUCGCCCUCUUCCCUGCAACGCAUCUGCAAUCACAGCAGGUUCUGUGCAAAGCUGCAGCUCAAGGGGUGCUCAGUGGUUGUUGCUAACACACAUCCAAACCUUCCAGAGCUGCAACAGGGUGCUGGACUGCGAGGAUGUGUCAGCAAUGCAGCUGUGCUUUUGGGAAGAAAUCACUCUGCAGCUGCAUGUGGCCCUGCAGUAGUUCUGUGUGGUGCUGGGGCAGUGCCUGCACUCUGCUGUCUGCAGAACUCAGUUGCAUCCUGCAGGGCCCGGCACUGUGCAGCAUUGAGGCACCUCUUACAAUGGUGGACUUCAGUACCUGCACGCAUUGUAAAGGUGAAAAGCUGUUAAUAAAGAGCGGGCACCUCCAUGCUGUGUGUGA